GAUUGGGUUUUCUUAAUGUUCUCUAUCUUAUGUUAGCAUUAUUAAAUUUAUUCAAGCUUUUUAUUUUAUUUUAUUUUUUUAUAGUAUCCAUAUGAAAAACUCUCCUAGAAACGGAAAACCAAUAUUAUAGUUUUAAAAUUCAGUAGGAUCUAAAUAGAGAUCAGGGGGAAGGUUUUCUUCUCCUAAUAAUCUUUUUUUUUUUUUUUUUAAUCAGAAACGAAGAGAAAUAAAUUAGUAGAAGAAAAGAAACAGGAGAAAGAAAAGAAACAAAAGAAAGAGAAGAAACCCAGGGAAGGAUGAGAGGUCCUUCCUACACAAACUGAACAAAAGAGAAAACUCCCAAUAAUAGAAAUCUAAAAACAAAGAUAAACCCCAACAUUCUUCAAACUUUUGAAGCGCAAACCGUAAUCCAGUUGAGUUGUAAAACACUUAGAGGAACUCCUCUAAAAGUUGCAGUACAAGAAGCCCAUAGAGAAGAAUAGAACCGAAUCAAAUCCCAUAACAUCUCUUCCGUUCUCCCCUUAUCCUAAAAAAUCCUAUUGUUUCUCUCUUGCCACACCAUCCAUAUCAAAGUAAGGCAAGAGAUUUGCCAAAGUGUCUUGCCUCUUAAUGAAUUCCCCAAGCCUUUAAAAGCAAUAACCAACAUGUCCUCAAAACUCCUUGGAGGGACCCAAACCAACCCUGCUAGAUUGAACAACUUGUGCCAGAGUCCAAUGGUAAUAGGACAAUGAAGAAAAAGGUGGUCAAUCGACUAUCCAUUUCCUUUGCAAAGAAUGCACCAUUGAGGACAGAGGGAUUUGUAGGGUCUUCUCAAUUGCAACUUAUCAUUGGUGUUUACCUUCCCAUGUGCUAGUAACCAAGCUGGCCUUAACCUUUGAAAGGGCUUUUGAACUCCACAAAAACUUGGCCGGAAGGAACAAGAUAGGAUUUGAGACUUUUGACAAGGUAAAAAAAAAAAGAUUUCACUGAAAACAAGCCUGACGAUGACAAAGACCACGCUCUUGAAUUUGCCAAAGAAGGAGAGAAAAACAUAGAACUAAGGGAGGACAUUAAUCUCUGAAGGAGAUCAAUUUCUGAAUCAGUAAGAUUGCGACGAAAAUUAAAAUUCCAAGACAGUGGAAAGGAAUUGCCAAGGACAUUUGAGACAGUGAGGUUUUUCACAGAAAUAACUCUAUAAAAAUCAGCAAAUUGAGAGCACAAAGUUUGGUUACCGCACUAAAGAUCUUCCCAAAAACGAAUUAUCUCCCCAUUGCCCACCACUAGGCGGACAAAAGGGGAAAAAACCUGGAAAACUUGAGCAAUAGCCUUCCAAGGACAUCUGUGUGACCAUCUAACCACCAUGUUGGCGUCCCAUCCAUUAGGAUGUGUCCCAUAUAUACUCGUAAUAACCUUAUGCCAAAGACCACUCCUUUCUCUAGGGAACCUCCAAAGCCAUUUCCCUAAGAGAGCAAUAUUUCUCAGAGAAGUCUUCCCAAAACCCAAACCUCCCAACUCCUUUGGUCUACUAACAACAUCCCAUCUGAUAAGAUGAUCUUUCUUCCCUUCCCCCGCCCCAGACCAAAUAAAAUCCCUUUGCAUCUUCUCAAUCUUUGAAGCUAUUGAUGCUGGGAUUUUAAAGAGGGAGAGGAAGUAGCUAGGGAUGUGAGACAGACAAGACUGAAUUAAAGUAAUCCUCCUUCCCAAUGACAAAAAGGUCUUUUUCCAACCAUCCAACCUCCUCGAAAUUCUCUCAACCACCGGAUCCCAAAAGCCUAUUGUCUUUGGGUUCCUUCCCAGUGGAAGGCCUAGAUAAGAAAAAGGCCACUCUGACACUCUAUAAUCCAAAACCAAGGCCAAACUAGACAACGGCUCCUGCCUAGUGUUAAUACCUGAAAUGGUGCUUUUUUCUAAGUUGAUUUUUAAACCAGAAACUUGCCCAAAAACCAAAAGGAUAAUCUUGAGGUUUUGAAGAUGUUCCAUAGAGGCUUUAGAGAAAAAGAUGGUGUGAUCUGCAAACUGUAACAAAGACUCUCUAGUCCUAUCAAAGAAACCCUCAGUUAGCCUGGUUUCCUCUGCUCUGAUCAUCAACCUACUUAGAACAUCUGCCACUAAAGUAAAAAAGAAAGGAGAAAGGGGGUCUCCUUGUCUCAAACCUCUAGAGGCCUUAACCCAACCCUUUGCAUUCCCAUUAACUAGGAUUGCAAAGCUUGAUAAAGACAAACAACCCCUUAUCCAAGAUCUCCAUUUCUGGCUCAACCCCUUCCUUUGUAGCACAUGAUUUAAAAAGCCCCAAUCCACGUGAUCAUAGGCCUUCUCAAAAUCGAUUUUGAAGACUACCCCUUCCUCCCCUGACCUUUUUUUCUCAGCCACCACUUCAUUGGCUAUCAACACAGCAUCCAUAAUGUGUCUCCCUUUGACAAAGGCUCCUUGAGAGCCAGAGAUUGUUGCAUGAAGAACUUUACAUAAAUGCCCUGAUAAGACCUUAGCAAUUAUCUUAUAUAAACUUGUAACCAAGCUAAUAGGUUAUCCCAUGAGGCCAAAAGUGCAAUGCAGUAGAAAUCAUGUCAUAAUUAUAGUAGGUUAUUUCAAUGACCUGUUAAUAGAGAUGCUUAUCAUGAGAGGGAAAUAAAGAAAUGGAGAAGCUAGGCCUCAAGGAAAGGAGAAAAAAAUAAAAACUUCAAUAGCCUAUUAGUAGGGAUGUUUGUGAUGGGAGGGAAAUAAAGAAAUAGAGAAGCUAAACCUUAAGGACAAUAAAAAGAGAGAGAAAGAGAGGUUGGGGGAAGUAGUCUCUUGAUUACCAUCAACUAUACGAGGUCAAUAUAGGAAAAAACAAAUCAAUCUUUCUAAGUCUUGAUGUUUCUAAUUUUUUCUUUACUUACACAUGUGCUACUGUGGUUGAAGUUCUAUGACAGAAAGCUUAGGAAUUAUCAUCUUUUACUUUUUUUGCUCUAAAUAUGCACAAUAAUUAUCUUAAAUUCAUUUUGUCAUAAAUUUAAUUUUUCUUUGAUAUAUAGCAUUAACUAAAAAUGAAAUGUGAUUCUUUUCUUUGAUCUCUAGUAGACAGGAUGUAAUUGAAUCCACAUCUAAACAUCAAGCUUGUCAAUGUCCUAUUUUGUAGACUUUGCAUACCUAAUUCCAUUGAUGCUGGCACCUUUUUUACUUGGCUAAUCUUAAAGCACCACUUGUCUGGGACUUAAUGCCAUGUUGACAAUAUAGUUCUCCACUAGCAUUUGUGGACCCGCAUCUUUCACAUGCGUCCCCACUCAAUGGUGAGACUUGUUUUUGUUGGUGAAAAAUUAGUUUUGGAAAAGUUGGAGUUGCCAUUUAUUUUAUUUUAGCUUAGAAGGGAAAAUAAAAAAAGAAAGAAAACCCUAAAGAAGUGACUCCAUAGGUUUGGAAAAGCAUGUCUUGAAAAAUGUGAGUCUUGGUCUGGGGAUUAGGUUACUUAUCAGGAAGGUACCUCAAAGAGGUAGCACCCCUCUAAGCCCUAAAGCGUUCUCUAUUGGUUAAGUCAAGGGAAAUGUGACAAUUAAUCAGUUAAUUAUGGAUAUUUAGAUAGACUAAGGUAACUUCAAAACUAGCAUGUCAAAAUAAGAAAUCAAAUCACAAUCAUAAAGAAGAGUUAGGGUGUGUACCUAGACUACUUCUUAAGCGUUAUCAUAAAACAUCAAAGUUAGUUCAGAAAUAUUGACACACGACGUGCAUUUUUAUAAAAAAUAAUCAAACAAUGCAUCAUGGCAAUCAAAGAUAGAGUCAAAUAUGGAUAUAGUCCUCAAUAACAUAUAUGUUCAUGGAAUUUCGAAAUCAAAGGAUAGAAAGAGCAUAUCUAGUUAGCAAGCAUCAACGCUUCAUGGAGAAACAAGGUUAGCUCAAUAACAGGUGUAAAGCAAACUCAUAUAUAUCAUAGAGAGUGAUUGAAAUCAAUCAUCAAACAAUCAUCUUAUCAGAAUCAAUGUCAAAGGAGAUAUAAAAAAUGUCAGACCCCCCACCAUGGUCCAAAUUACUUUUGCAUGAAUUGGUUCAAUGAGUUCCAUUAUUUGGAAGCAUGAAGUUUGUUCAUGCUUAAAAGAAAACAAGAAAAUGGUUGAAAAACCCAAGAAAAUAACAAAAAUUGAUGCCUGAACGAAAUAUGGCAGCAACGGUUUUUUAAACUGAGUUUUAUCAACCUAGAAUCUCCCAAGGGUGAGAUUAGAAAAGAGGAAUUGCUUUGAUGGAAAUGAGAUUUUGAAUAUCCGAUUUAAAACAAGUAAGGUCACUAGGAAAAGAAUAAGGAUCAGGAGGAGGAGGGUAAUGUGUACCAAGGGCCUGUAUAGGAGUAGAGCCUGGGAAUGCAUUUGAGACUGUAUUGCUGAAACGGAUUCAUGAGGAGACCUCUGCAGAUUGCUGGUAGUCUGGAAAGAAACCGGCUAUAUUCGCUUUCGAGCCCAUGUUCACUGUGUUAUUACUUAUUCUCCAGCUUUUGGCCUUCAAGACUCUUACUAAUUCAUCCAUUUUCUCAUAAUUCCUCUCUGGAUUUCAGCAUCCGAGUUUCUGUGCUCCUCUAUCUGUUGUGAGUUCCAUACUAAACUCCUUUUCUACUGUUUUAUCAUCAUGAGAAUCAGCUUCUCACUUUCUGGAGCCUGUGGGAAUUCCCCUCCUUCCAGAGCUGUUGCCCAACUAGCAUCUUUUCGGACAAAAAAUCAGUGAUGGUCUGAAGCCUACUAUCCAUACAUGUAUCGGUUGAAGAAUGAGGUGAAGAUCCUGAUGCCUUUCAUCAGAUGCUAACUCAAAGUCUGUGAUGGAUGAGACAAUCUCAGUCAAGCUGACUUAGAGCCGUUUGGACUCUCCAUGUCGUUAUAUCCUUGCUUUAUGAUCACAUGCUGCUGGUUGCCGCAAGUCAAUUAACUGAAUGGAACUUCUUGAGCUGCUGUAUGCCAACAGAUUAUAUUGAAAUGGAUGAUACUCCGCUGCUGCUAUCACUUUAGCAAGAUCCUCCAUGUUUUCUGUAUCCAAAAGCCUCAAACUAUCCCUCAUUUUCCUCUGAAAUACCCUGAAAUUCAAUUUCUUUUUCUAUCAAGUUUGCCUUCAACUCUUCAAUCUCGGCCUUCAUUUUCUCUAGUUCCGCCUGUAGGUCAGCUUGUCUUGAACCAGGUCCAGAUUUCACGUGCUCUGCAUGCUCAUAAGUACUUACAGGCUGCACUGUGCUCUGAAUAUAUUCUUUGUGGUAUCUGAUCUUGACAUCAAGAGCAGAUUUUAAAUAUCCUAUUUUGAACUUCAGAUGAGUAAGCUCUGCUUUGAGUUGAUUUGACCCUUCCAUUGGAAUGCCUGUUAGCAGCAGCCACAAGACUGUGUUGUAUUUCAGAUUCCAUUGCUUGCUGUAGAAUUUGAGGAUCUUCAAGGACAUGUCGGAUUAUAGUAGCAGCAACAUUGUCAAACCCAGAAAAAAGGCUACUUGUUGGCAAAGACAGAAGCAUGGGUAAGUCUCUCUCAUCAAGAAAAUUAACAGCGAUGGAAUGAGUUCUGGUAAGAGCAGGGCAUGGCUGUAGAACAGUAUGCAUCAUUUCAGAAGGAAACCAGUUCCUGAUACAAUUACAAGCAAUCUCAAUAAGUCUCUUCUGCUCAUGCGUAUCUAUAUGCUUUGGAGAUAAUCUCAGUGUGGCCUGCAGUUUGUUCAGCUUAUCAUCAUCAAUGGUUAUAGAUGUCUGCUGACCACUGACAUCAUCCUUCUUCAACUGUUCUGCAAGUUCUGCAAUCAAUUUCUUUGAUCCACCUGCAGCAGCCGAUCGAUAGCAAGAAAAUUUGCUGUUACCCAUUGAGAGUAGACCAAUCUGGAGUGAAAGUUGAGCCCUUUAUCCGAGAAGGCUUCUUUUUAAAAUCAGUGCUGAUUGGUUGUGUAGGUUUGUAAGCAUAAGACCUUACUAUUGGCAAAGCAUCAGGACAGAUUUCAUUGCAGGGGAAGGAUCUCCAUAAUGAUUCUCCAGCAGUGGUGUAGCUAUUGGAAGUACUUAAGAUGUCUUCUUUAGUUUCUAAUGCUGAAGUCAACAGUACAUUCAGUCGGCUUAGUCCCAGGGUUCACCUUUGUUAAAAUGUUCACUGUUUUAGCACCAUUGGUCUAAUGCCUAGUUGUUAGCAUCAGUAUGGUUAGCAAGGUGAAAUUCCUUAGAGGAGGUUUUGGAAAGGUAAUCAAGAAUCUCAGUUUCUGCAUCAGCGGUUGAUAUUGGGGAAAUGAGGUUCGAGAGAGAGCAAGGAAGGCGUUUGAGCAGUGGAACUGGCACAGGAACUGACCAGGCUCUUAUGGUUCUGCUAAAAGCUGGGUGUUGGAAUUCAUCAGGCUUGUUUCUUCUGCCAUUCCCUGUAAAUCAAUUCUUGGGUUCAGCUUUACUGUUGCUUUCUUUUGAGCGCCAUUCACCACUUCAAACUGAGCGAGGUUCCUCUUUGUACUUCUCAUUCUUUAAGCUCUUAUGAUUUGUGGUGAAAUGCACUCGACAUCCUCUCAGAUUGUCAAUAAACAGUGUCUUGUCUUGGUUUUGGUGCUUUGCACUUGAGGAGUGGCAGAGGUUUUGGGAGCUUUCUUCCCAGAUUUUGAAUCAGUCUGCUUAGUUUUGGUCUUUGGUGUUUCGGAAGAAUGGAAAUAUCAUGGCAGCAAGUUUCUCUCUGGAAUUAGUGUGAGCAUAGGAGUUCAAAAUUGCAUGCUUCAGCGGCUCAUUAAUGUUCCUCCCAAAACUAAUAACAGUAGCAGUGCUGUGACUCUAACCAUUUUCAGACUCUAGCAAAGACCUUAUUCCAAUAUCUCUGACCUGGGAUUAGUGUUCAUGCUCUGAAACCCAUGAUUAUCAGCUUUGCCACAUAGUUUCUACUUGUUUACUGACAGUUGAACCUCUCCUAUGAUUUUCUCCUCUGCUUUUCAAAAUUUUCUGUGCUUUUACAGAAGCUCCCUUAAAAGGAAUGGGAAGAGGAUCCAUUUCCCCACCAAUAGCUCUACGGAUCCCAUAACAGUUUCAGAAUUCUUAAGCAGUUGGUCUCUUGGCUGGACAAAGGAACAAAACCUGUAUGUGAUAGAUCACAGGGUCAGGUGCAUCAUCCUGCUUGCUCACCACCCAUAGCAUAAUAACAAAAUCUCUUCUCGAGGAACCGCGACUCUUGCUGUCAUCUUUCUCAAAAUCAACUUGCUUGUAUAACUCAUCAAUGCUGCACUAGAACCUUCCGCUGUGUGGGAAAGAUAGUCUGAUCAAGCCAAACAAGACUCCAGCACGUAUAUCAAAUGUCAAGACACCCUCAUCCUACAGUUCACCUACUAAAGCUGUAGAUUUUUUCAACCUCAAAUUCCCUUUUGUAUCGAAUUCAAAGUUCCUAUGUGACAGGGUAAGUAUACGGCAAGUUAAUCAUUUCCG